UCAUUCUGGCUGCUGUACAAAACAACAUAGACUACGUGGCUUUAUUGAUUCCCACACAUUUAUUUUUUUCACAGGCUUGGUGACUGGUCUAAGAUCAAGCAAGGCACCAGAGAACUCAGGGUCUGAUCGAUGGAAGACCAAACUGGGGCAAGAAACUCGAAGGGCUACCUGUCGAGCAAAGCUUCACGUCCCUAAAAGCAUCCAGGACAGUGAUGGCCACAGCCCUGCCACCAUUCCACGGACAUCUUCGGGCUCUCUUGGUGCUUCAGCUGAGUUUGGGACACAUGAAGUAAAAUAAUGAAAA